CAGGUAAGGCCCCUCGUAGACUACGAGGUUGAUAGGCUGCAGGUGUACGCACAGCAAUGUGUUCAGCCGAGCAGUACUAAUAGGCCGAGGUCUUGAUCUCAUUUG
rnacentral:rRNA from 1 species